UAAAGAAUUAAAAUCCUAAGAAACUAGCCGCCGCACUUAGCAUACGGGAUAGAUAGAUUUUGGGUAAAACGAACGGAAUAGUGAUUUGGUAGAGGGAAGGAUCAGUGAAGGCAAGUUUUCUGGAUCUCUUAGUCCCGGAUAGAUGUAAAAGUGACAACCAAAUAUCUCGUAAACUCUGCAUCAUGCUUGAGUUUCUUUUCCCUGCUCUCUUAAUUGUUCUAAUCAUUUUUUGCUUUAGAUGUCAUGGUUGUUCAAGGAGUGAUUCACGUAGCUACUGUAUGUAUGACACGGUGUUGUUAGGAACCGAGAAGGAGUUUGAUUGAUUCCAAUAUCGGGGGAUAUUUAAAAGAUAUCUAACUGAGGGUGGACAUCUACACUUCUUCUUUUAUUUUUAUUUUUUUCCGUUAUGUAGUUGUGAGGCAGUGGGGAUAUUGCUUUUGGGUAGACUUCAUUAUUUGUUUAUUUAUUUUUCCUUUGCUAGUUCCUAUUUAAGGUGGAUUAUAUUAUUGAAGUCAAGUACACCAUUUUUAUUUGACAUCGUUGUUUUUCGUUUAGAAAUAAAAUUCCCUUCUACA